GCAGACAUAGUUUAAUGGUAAAACAUUAACCUUCCAAGUUAAGGAUGAGGGUUCGAUUCCCGCUGUUUGCUCCA
rnacentral:tRNA from 1 species